GACGAACGCUGGCGGCGUGCUUAACACAUGCAAGUCGAGCGGUAAGGCCCUUUCGGGGGUACACGAGCGGCGAACGGGUGAGUAACGCGUGGGUGACCUGCCCUCAGCUCUGGGAUAAGCCUGGGAAACCGGGUCUAAUACCGGAUAUGACUCCAUGACCGCAUGUUGUGGGGGUGAAAGCCUUGUGCGGCUGAGGAUGGGCCCGCGGCCUAUCAGCUUGUUGGUGGGGUGAUGGCCUACCAAGGCGACGACGGGUAGCCGGCCUGAGAGGGCGACCGGCCACACUGGGACUGAGACACGGCCCAGACUCCUACGGGAGGCAGCAGUGGGGAAUCUUGCGCAAUGGGCGAAAGCCUGACGCAGCGACGCCGCGUGAGGGAUGACGGCCU
rnacentral:rRNA from 1 species